rnacentral:rRNA from 1 species
UAACAGCUCACUGGUCGAGUGGACAUGCGCCGACAAUACACGGGGCUAAGCUGGACACCGAAGCGGCGGGAUUUUAAUUCAUUAGAAUCGGUAGGGGAGCUUCCCAUGGGCGGAGAAGCCGGAGGGCGACCGACGGUGGAGCGCAUGGGAGUGAGAAUGCUGGCAUGAGUAGCGAGAGACGAGAGAGUAACUCGUCCGCCGUGAACCCGAGGUUUCCUGGGCAAGGCUAAUCCUCCCAGGGUCAGUCGGGGGCUAAGGCGAGGCCGGUAGGCGUAGCCGACGCGCAGCAGGCAGACAUUCCUGCACCGCGCACGCGGCGCUACGACCGACGGGGCGACGGAUGGGGGUGGCUCGGCGGGGUUCUGGACGUCCCCGUGAUGGAGCGCGGCCCGCGGACCAGGGAAAUCCGGUCCGCAUCAAGGGCGAGGCUCCGGACGAAGCGACUGAGCGAAGCGAGUGAGCCCGAGGUCCCUAGAAAAACCCCUAGGCAGGCGCGUGCGCGCCCGUACCGCAAACCGACACAGGUGGGUGGGUAGAACAUACCGAGGCGAUCGGGUCAACCAUGGUCAAGGAACUCGGCACAAUGGCCCCGUAACUUCGGGAGAAGGGGUGCCCGCGCGUACGUGAACCGGCUUGCCCGGGGAGCGGAGGCGGGCCGCAGUGGAGAGGCCCAAGCGACUGUUUACCAAAAACACAGGACUCUGCAGAAGCCGCAAGGCGACGUAUAGGGUCUGACGCCUGCCCGGUGCCGGAAGGUCACGCGGAGGAGUUAGCCGCAAGGCGAAGCCCCGAAGCCAAGCCCCGGUAAACGGCGGCCGUAACUAUAACGGUCCUAAGGUAGCGAAAUUCCUUGUCGGGUAAGUUCCGACCUGCACGAAAGGCGCAACGACUUGGGCGCUGUCUCGACCAUGGACCCGGUGAAAUUGCACUGGUCGUGAAGAUGCGACUUACCCGCGGAAGGACGGAAAGACCCCGUGAACCUUCACUGCAGCUUGGCAUUGGCCGCUGGUCCCGCGUGUAGAGGAUAGGCAGGAGGCACAGAUCCGGAGGCGCCAGCCCCCGGGGAGCCGCCCUUGGAAUACUGCCCUCGCGCGACCGGCGUCCUAACCCGAGGCCGUCAACCGGCUCGGGGACCGUGCCAGGCGGGCAGUUUGACUGGGGCGGUCGCCUCCUAAAGGGUAACGGAGGCGCGCGAAGGUCCGCUCGGGACGGUCGGCAACCGUCCUUUUGAAUGCAAGAGUACAAGCGGGCUUGACUGCGAGGCCCACAAGCCGAGCAGGUGCGAAAGCAGGCUCUAGUGAUCCGGCGGCCCCGAGUGGGUGGGCCGUCGCUCAACGGAUAAAAGGUACUCCGGGGAUAACAGGCUGAUCUUGCCCAAGAGUCCACAUCGACGGCAAGGUUUGGCACCUCGAUGUCGGCUCAUCGCAUCCUGGGGCUGGAGCAGGUCCCAAGGGUACGGCUGUUCGCCGUUUAAAGCGGUACGCGAGCUGGGUUCAGAACGUCGUGAGACAGUUCGGUCCCUAUCCUCCGUGGGCGCAGGAGAAUCGAUGGAGGCUGCCCCCAGUACGAGAGGACCGGGGUGGACGCACCUCCGGUGAACCGGUUGUCGACCAACGGCACGGCCGGGUAGCCGCGUGCGGCGCGGAUAACCGCUGAAGGCAUCUAAGCGGGAAGCCGUUCCAGGGAUUAGUUCUCCUUCCGGUAAGGGCCCAGGUAGACUACCUGGUCGAUAGACGGCAGGUGCAAGGCUGGCGACAGCCUCAGCCGAGCCGCACUAAUCGCCCGAGCUCUUCCGGA